rnacentral:rRNA from 1 species
UACGUAGGGUGCAAGCGUUGUCCGGAAUUAUUGGGCGUAAAGAGCUCGUAGGCGGUCUGUCGCGUCGGCUGUGAAAUCCCGGAGCUCAACUCCGGGUCUGCAGUCGAUACGGGCAUCACUUGAGUUCGGCAGGGGAGACUGGAAUUCCUGGUGUAGCGGUGAAAUGCGCAGAUAUCAGGAGGAACACCGGUGGCGAAGGCGGGUCUCUGGGCCGAUACUGACGCUGAGGAGCGAAAGCAUGGGUAGCGAACAGG